GCAUUCCUUGUUUUUAGAUAAUGGACACCUUCGUAAGAGGGGAAAAAGGUGAGAAUACGAGUUUAUUAUGAGAAAGGAAAAAAAGAAUAUAAAUUCAACUAUAUAAUAAGUGAGACUUGUUGGUACGAUGAAGGGCACUUUGGGCAUUUUCGUUUUAAAUUACAACUCAUUUGUUUAUCUCUUGGGGACACGUGUGAUACAACUGCUUCCUACUCUCUUCACUUUGAGAAAGCUUCUUCCAUGCCUCUAACCUCUCUCCGGCAAAAUUUAACAGAUUUGCAUGAAGCUCUGGUCUAUUGAAGCUGAGUAUUGUCAUCUCUUCUCCAUGUUUCUGUACUUUUAUUUCUCUCUACUUUACUCUUAUUUUUUCCACUUCUAUCUUGACCUCACUAUAUUAUUCUUCAUCGAAUUGAUACCAAAACUUUUUUUUCUCCUCAAGUUUCAAUCUCAGAACUUUAUCAUCUUUUCUCUUUCGCUCCAUGAUACUUGCAUGCAUUGCAGAAUCUGUAAAUUUUCUCCCUUUUUGUGGUUGAUUUGGGAAUAAAUGCUAAUUUUCAUAUCCAUGUUUCGGGUAACAAUAGAUUAGCUCUCAAUUGGUUGUUAUUUUUUCCAUUUUCAGAUUCGGUUAAACUUUUUAACUUUUUGGAUUUUUGCUUUUGGUUGAUCUGGGGAAUGAAUGCUAAUUUGUUCUCCAAAGAUUUUUGUUUUCCAUAUUUUGGUAUGUAGUAGAUUAGCUCUCAAUCCAGUUUGUUGUGAUUGUUUUUUUGACUAUGCUAUUUUUUCAUUUAUUACUUUUUCUUGAUUGAAUAUACUAUAUGUUAAUUUUCCUACCUCAGGACUAGCUUUCUUUUUUUGGAUCUUUUGUGUUAAAGUAGAUCCACUGAGCGCAUUUUCCUCUGUCAUACGUUUGGAUCCUGUUUUAAAAUAAAAAUUUGAGGUAUGAUCUUCUUUGGUUUUCACCAAAUUGUUCUUUCCGCUGCAUGUGCUGGUAUUUCUUGAGAUUAAACAAUGGAAGUAAAUAUGUUUGCUCUAAUUCUGUAUUCCAUUUCUCAGUGUUGUUUGCAUGAGCUUUGUGGUUAGGAAAAUUUCUACAUUUUCUAUUAUUAAAUUAUGAGUUUCAUUGCAAAAUUCUUCUUACGACCUUCUUGUGGCAGAUAAUAGUACAUAGAAGUAGAGGCAACGUAACUAGAUCAGUGACAAAGGAUUGGUCGGCAGUUUGCAGUUGAUAAAGAUUGUAAAUGCAAUGGAUUUAGUGCAUCCCAAAGGAGAUAUGACCGAAAGAAUGGGCUCGUUGGAAUUACACUGAUGACCAUCCCCAUUGGGAAAGAGUUCGAGAAGCAGCAAAGGAGUACCGAGUGCCGUAUGAAAUAAUCAGAAAUGAAGUCACUCAGGCUAUCACAAAGAUAAGGUUGAAUUUUCCAUCUCAAGAUUCAACAUAAAUUGAUCUAGAGAUGCCAGGACCAUCCAGCAGAAAAUGCUACUACGCAAGGUCGCGAAAAAGAAGUCUCGAAAACAAAGAAAAUUUCAAGAAAAAACAUGGACCAGAAUGGUGGAUAGAGAAAGGAUACACAGUUCCGCCGUUGACGCCAUCAAGCAUCGCUCCGUCGGAUAAGGCUUACUGACGUGCUUACAAGAAAGACAAAAACCGACCCCAUGGUCACAUGCUUGCACAUGGUUGUCAUGCUUUGGAUAGUGUUCUCCUCGUUUUAUUAGGCUUGUUUUAUUAGGCUCGUUUUAUUAGGCUUGUUUUAUUAGGCCCUUGUCUAGCGGGACCCGUGUGUCAUGUAAGAUAUGUCUUGUAGUAGCCUCCAGCUCCUAUAAAUAAGAGGCUAUGUAAUAGUUAGAAGGUAUCAAACAAUCUCCCUGUAAAUUUUCCGAUAUCAAUAAAAUGUUUGCUUUCUAAAUU